UGGGAAUAGCGCAACCUAUUAGCGCACCUGCUUCGGGAGCAGGCGUCGCUGGUUCGAAUCCAGUCAUCCCGACCA
rnacentral:tRNA from 1 species